rnacentral:rRNA from 1 species
GACAGAGGGUGCAAACGUUGCUCGGAAUUACUGGGCGUAAAGCGCGUGUAGGCGGCUUGGCAAGUCGGAUGUGAAAGCCCACGGCUCAACCGUGGAAGCGCAUCCGAAACGGCCUCGCUCGAGUCUCGGAGAGGAAGGUGGAAUGCUUGGUGUAGAGGUGAAAUUCGUAGAUAUCAAGCAGAACACCUGCGGCGAAGGCGGCCUUCUGGACGAUGACUGACGCUGAGACGCGAAAGCGUGGGGAGCAAACAGG